rnacentral:tRNA from 1 species
GGGCGGUUAGCUCAGGUGGCCAGAGCGUUACGUUGACAUCGUAAAGGCCGCAGGUUCAAGUCCUGCACCGCCCAC